AAUGUUGCGACCCCAGGUCAGGCGGGACUACCCGCUGAGUUUAAGCAUAUCAAUAAGGCGGAGGAAGAACCCUGCCCCGCAGAAGACCGGCGAACGUGUUUGCUUAUCGGAGGAAAGGGGUGGCCGUCCGGCUCUCUCGGAACUCCUCGUGUCGGUUCGCGCUCCUGAGACGUGCUCGACGCGCCUAACAAACCCGCGUUGAUGCGCAGAGAAUGAACACUAACGUGUCGUUUGCGCCCGCAUCCCCGAAGGUCGCCGCAACCCAUCGCUAUCCACGAACCUCGCACGAUUUCGACUUUGCCAUCUAUG
rnacentral:rRNA from 1 species